UACGGAGGGUGCAAGCGUUGUCCGGAAUUACUGGGCGUAAAGAGCUCGUAGGUGGUUUGUCGCGUUGUUCGUGAAAACUCACAGCUUAACUGUGGGCGUGCGGGCGAUACGGGCAGACUGGAGUACUGCAGGGGAGACUGGAAUUCCUGGUGUAGCGGUGGAAUGCGCAGAUAUCAGGAGGAACACCGGUGGCGAAGGCGGGUCUCUGGGCAGUAACUGACGCUGAGGAGCGAAAGCGUGGGGAGCGAACAGG
rnacentral:rRNA from 1 species